rnacentral:rRNA from 1 species
AUGGAGGUGCUCAUCACCAUCCUGAACAUGUUUGGCUAGGCGACGGGUCUGAAGAUCAACAGACAAAAAUCAACAGCAACCCCAAUUAGAUGCGACAAUGUUGACAUCCAGCAAGUUCUGCAGAGUUUUGGAGGCAUCAUCACCACCUUCCCGCUGAAAUAUUUGGGCCUCCCGCUCACUCUGACAAGAACAAGGCUAGUGCAUCUUCAGUUCGUCUUAGAUCGGAUCAGAGCGAGGCAGGCAGGCUGGAAGGGCAGACUCAUGACCAUUGCUGGACGGUGGGUGCUUGUCAGAGCCGUGCUGACUGCAAUCCCAGCUUUUGCUAUGACCGUACUACGUAUGCCAAAGAAAUUCUUCAAGGAAAUCGACAAAGUGAGGCGCCGUUUUCUGUGGGCAUAA